rnacentral:rRNA from 1 species
UGGGGAAUAUUGCACAAUGGGCGAAAGCCUGAUGCAGCAACGCCGCGUGAGCGAUGAAGGCCUUCGGGUCGUAAAGCUCUGUCCUCAAGGAAGAUAAUGACGGUACUUGAGGAGGAAGCCCCGGCUAACUACGUGCCAGCAGCCGCGGUAAUACGUAGGGGGCUAGCGUUAUCCGGAAUUACUGGGCGUAAAGCGCGUGUAGGCGGUUCGUUAAGUCAGAUGUGAAAGCCUUGGGCUCACCCCAAGAAGUGCAUUUGAUACUGCUAUUCUAGAGUUCGGGAGAGGGAGGCAGAAUUCCAGGUGUAGAGGUGAAAUCCGUAGAUAUCUGGAGGAAUACCGGAGGCGAAGGCGGCCUCCUGGACCGAUACUGACACUGAAACACGAAAGCGUGGGGAGCAAACA